rnacentral:rRNA from 1 species
AUUGAACGCUGGCGGCAGGCUUAACACAUGCAAGUCGAACGAUGAAGAUAUAGCUUGCUAUAUCGGAUUAGUGGCGGACGGGUGAGUAACACUUAGGAAUCUACCUUUUAGCGGGGGAUAGCUCGGGGAAACUCGAAUUAAUACCGCAUAAUUUCUACGGAAUAAAGAGGGCUUUUAGCUCUCACUAGAAGAUGAGCCUAAGUAAGAUUAGCUAGUUGGUGGGGUAAAAGCCUACCAAGGCGACGAUCUUUAGCUGGUCUGAGAGGAUGAUCAGCCACACUGGGACUGAGACACGGCCCAGACUCCUACGGGAGGCAGCAGUGGGGAAUAUUGGACAAUGGGGGCAACCCUGAUCCAGCCAUGCCGCGUGUGUGAAGAAGGCCUUUUGGUUGUAAAGCACUUUAAGCAGUGAAGAAGACCUAUUGGUUAAUACCCAAUAGCGAUGACAUUAACUGCAGAAUAAGCACCGGCUAACUCUGUGCCAGCAGCCGCGGUAAUACAGAGGGUGCAAGCGUUAAUCGGAAUUACUGGGCGUAAAGCGAGCGUAGGUGGUUAAAUAAGUCAGAUGUGAAAGCCCCGGGCUCAACCUAGGAACGGCAUCUGAAACUAUUUAACUAGAGUAGGUGAGAGGGAAGUAGAAUUUCAGGUGUAGCGGUGAAACGCGUAGAGAUCUGAAGGAAUACCGAUGGCGAAGGCAGCUUCCUGGCAUCAUACUGACACUGAGGCUCGAAAGCGUGGGUAGCAAACAGGAUUAGAUACCCUGGUAGUCCACGCCGUAAACGAUGUCUACUAGCCGUUGGGGAACUUGAUUCCUUAGUGGCGCAGCUAACGCAAUAAGUAGACCGCCUGGGGAGUACGGCCGCAAGGUUAAAACUCAAAUGAAUUGACGGGGGCCCGCACAAGCGGUGGGAGCAUGUGGUUUGAUUCGAUGCAACGCGAAGAACCUUACCUGGUCUUGACAUACACAGAAUCUAGCAGAGAUGCAAGAGUGCCUUCGGGAAUUGUGAUACAGGUGCUGCAUGGCUGUCGUCAGCUCGUGUCGUGAGAUGUUGGGUUAAGUCCCGCAACGAGCGCAACCCUUAUCCUUAGUUGCCAGCACGUAAUGGUGGGGACUCUAAGGAGACUGCCAGUGACAAACUGGAGGAAGGCGGGGACGACGUCAAGUCAUCAUGGCCCUUACGACCAGGGCUACACACGUGCUACA